GUGCAGCAGUCGAGAAACCUCCGCAAUACACGAAAGUGUGACGGGGCCAUCCCGAGUGCCGUCCGCUGAGGACGGCUUUUCCCCAGUGUACGUAGCUGGGGGAAUAAGGAGAGGGCAAGCCUGGUGUCAGCCGCCGCGGUAAUACCAGCUCUCCGAGUGGUGGGGACGCUUAUUGGGCCUAAAGCAUCCGUAGCCGGCUGGGCAAGUCCUCCGUUAAAUCCAACGAUUCAAUCGUUGGGCUGCGGGGGAUACUGUCCAGCUUGGGGGCGGGAGAGGCCGACGGUAUUCCCGGGGUAGGGGUGAAAUCCUAUAAUCCCGGGAGGACCACCAGUGGCGAAGGCUGUCGGCUAGAACGCGCCCGACGGUGAGGGAUGAAAGCUGGGGGAGCGAACCGGAUUAGAUACCCCGUAGU
rnacentral:rRNA from 1 species